UACGGGGGGGAGCAAGCGUUGUUCGGAUUUACUGGGCGUAAAGCGUGCGCAGGCGGUUUUGUAAGACCGAUGUGAAAUCCCCGGGCUUAACCUGGGAACUGCAUUGGUGACUGCAAGGCUUGAGUGUGUCAGAGGGAGGUGGAAUUCCGCGUGUAGCAGUGAAAUGCGUAGAUAUGCGGAGGAACACCGAUGGCGAAGGCAGCCUCCUGGGAUAACACUGACGCUCAUGCACGAAAGCGUGGGGGAGCAAACAGG
rnacentral:rRNA from 1 species